rnacentral:sRNA from 1 species
CCCGGGGGAGGGCAUCGCUAUUCUGAUCCCAACAGCGACACGGAACAGAAUUGAGCGGGGGACACCACCAUGUUUAUGGACGAAGUAGUACUCGCAGGCAUCGUCAUCGUCAUCCUUACCGCAGGUUUCCUCGGUGGAUUCGGAUAUUUCGUCUGGAAGGACGCCCAGAAGGGCAAGAAGAGCAGCUGAUCCUUUCCGACACACAGAGCACGCAAGGCAUUUGGGGCGACUUCGGUCGCCCGUU